rnacentral:rRNA from 1 species
GAUGAACGCUGGCGGCGUGCCUAAUACAUGCAAGUCGAGCGAACAGAGGAGAAGCUUGCGUCUCUGAUGUUAGCGGCGGACGGGUGAGUAACACGUGGGUAACCUACCUAUAAGACUGGGAUAACUCCGGGAAACCGGGGCUAAUACCGGAUAAUAUUUUGAACCGCAUGGUUCAAUAGUGAAAGACGGUUUCGGCUGUCACUUAUAGAUGGACCCGCGCCGUAUUAGCUAGUUGGUAAGGUAACGGCUUACCAAGGCGACGGUACGUAGCCGACCUGGAAGGGUGAUCGGCCACACUGGAACUGAGACACGGUCCAGACUCCUACGGGAGGCAGCAGUAGGGAAUCUUCCGCAAUGGGCGACAGCCUGACGGAGCAACGCCGCGUGAGUGAUGAAGGUCUUCGGAUCGUAAAACUCUGUUGUUAGGGAAGAACAAAUUUGUUAGUAACUGAACAAGUCUUGACGGUACCUAACCAGAAAGCCACGGCUAACUACGUGCCAGCCGCCGCUGUAA